rnacentral:rRNA from 1 species
AGCGAACGCUGGCGGCAGGCUUAACACAUGCAAGUCGAACGGGCGUAGCAAUACGUCAGUGGCAGACGGGUGAGUAACGCGUGGGAACGUACCUUUUGGUUCGGAACAACACAGGGAAACUUGUGCUAAUACCGGGAUAAGCCCUUACGGGGAAAGAUUUAUCGCCGAAAGAUCGGCCCGCGUCUGAUUAGCUAGUUGGUGAGGUAACGGCUCACCAAGGCGACGACCAGUAGCUGGUCUGAGAGGAUGAUCAGCCACAUUGGGACUGAGACACGGCCCAAACUCCUACGGGAGGCAGCAGUGGGGAAUAUUGGACAAUGGGCGCAAGCCUGAUCCAGCCAUGCCGCGUGAGUGAUGAAGGCCCUAGGGUUGUAAAGCUCUUUUGUGCGGGAAGAUAAUGACGGUACCGCAAGAAUAAGCCCCGGCUAACUUCGUG